ensembl:lncRNA
UUUUCUGGUUUAAGAUUCUUCCUUUGUAGAGUUUUCUCUGCGUGGUUCAAUCUUUAGAGCUAGUUGUGCCCAAUACAUCUUGUGCAGAAGAGGGAUUCUCAUCAGUUGUGAGCAGUGCAGGUGGACUGACAAUAAGUACUGAACUAAGAAGACUUCAGGGGAGAGAAGAAAGACAAGAUGUAUACUCAACAGGGGGAAUGAAUGGGAACUCUGAAGCAGAAAUACAGGUUGAAAUUUAUCUGAAGGGGGAAAUAUACGUAGUGGUUAUUGUCAUCAAGUCUUGCAACCAUCCCUCACUUGUGACUUCAAUCAUUCAAAUGCCAUUUCCAGGAAUGGAGUUUUAAUACUUUUCAACCAAGAAAACAACAACAUGACCUGAUUGAAUUUUGUCAUUCUUGUUUUGUUUGCUGUUACUUAAUUAUGAUCACUAGCCAGGCCAAUAUUGUUUGUUUUAGUUUUUUUGUAGUUUGGGGUUUCUAGGAUGUGACACCCAGUUGCAUCUCCGUAGGACUCUUAUGUGUUUGACUUCAUGCUAGAUGCUAGGUCACUAGAAUAGAAAUAUAUUCUGAGAAAACUAUGCAUUUUUUUCAUUUUAUUAACAAAUCUAAUAGUUCCUCUCUAAAUGUAAAUCAGACUCUAUCUAAUAUCUAUGUAAUGCUUUUGUUUUUCUUUAUUGGGUUUUCUGUAUCAUGAGAACACUUCAAAAUGCUGCUAUUUUGCUGGUAAUAUUUCAGUUUGUACAGAGAGACUUUAAAUCCUUUUAAAGUGAAAAGAAAUACCUUAUUUGUACUAACAAAUGCCUAAACUGUAUCACCAUUGUCUUUUUUCCUACACUUGGGUCCUUUCAUUUGGCACAAGAGAUGUUAAUACCUGUCAUGAAAGUCUUAGACUGCUGCACCGCCUGUGCCUUAUGUUUUCUGUUAGUCCUGCAGAGUUUCAGGGAGUGGGAGGGAAGGGUUUCAUUGCUGAAAUACACACAGCAAAGUAAUAUGAUCAGACUCAAACCUGACACACUGAGUAAUCUGUAAUAUGCUAACAUUUCAGUAUCAUGUUAGUAUUGCAUUAGACUAAUAUGACGUUAAUACAAAAUGACAGGAGAAAUGACUAAUACAAUAAGACUUUCAUAUAUUACUUUAGGGCUGCCAUAUCUGUCCUUUUUAAUUCACCUGAAACUGUGCUUAAAUGCCAAGUGAGAGCUGCAUCUAGAACAGAGCUGUGGAAAAAGACCAUUUUAGGAAGGAGGACAUUACAAAUAUUGUGUAACAAGUAACAUGGAAAUAAUUUUACAACGCAUGAGUUUUACAUGCUAAGAAUGAUGGCAGCUUUCCUAAAAGGAUAUGAUGCAGUGGUAGGCUGCAAUUUAUUUGAGGUAUUGGAAUCUGCAGUGAUGGCUGAAUGGCAUUUGUUUCCAAUUUUAAAUUGAUGACAAAACAAAAUUUCAACAGAAGGACUGAGAAUGCUGCCCUAUUUGUCUAGAAGUUCAUCCAUGAUGGAUGGAUUGAUUUUGAUAAAAGCAUUAGUGUGUUUUGACCAAUCCUUCUAACUUCCUAAUUCUUAAAUGAAAAGUCUGCAUGAGGAGAGCUGUACUUCUGUACUACUGUAUAUAUAAACUUCUUGAUUUUUUUUGUCAGUGGAUGCAGUUAAUUGCAUAGAAAAGAUGGUGCUUUUUCUAGGUCUUUGUGCUCUGUUAACUGCAGUUUUGCAUGAUUUUGUUUAUGAUGGAUUAAUUUAAGAGAAGCAUUUGCUGAAGCAUUACUGUCUUUAUCACUUUUCCUUGUGUUUAUUUGAAUGUAACAGUGAGAAUACUGAAGCAGCUUAAAUUCCAGGCCUAUCAGUUGUGUUCAGCUGGUAGUGCAUGCAUACGCACUUUGGAGUAUUUCUGUAAUGAGCUGAUAUGGAAUUUUGAUAACAUUAACUUACACAUGUAUCUUUGUAAAAGUCUAAUUAAAGAACUGUAGGGCUUCUGGAUACUGUUCCAGGAUAAUACAACAGUUAUCUCAGUUGAGGUGACAAAAAAGAGGCAUGUUAAGAACCUCACCUUAAAACCUUAGGUUUUAUCCUUGUGUAUUGUUUCUGUUGUCAGUAGAUGGGUGAAUGAAAAAUCUCUUGAAAGAUGGUUGACUUUCUUAGUAAAUGCCACCCCAAUCCAAUACAUUUCUCUGGUACCAAGUGCAUGAUGAUGCUACCAGAUGUCCCUGUAUAUAGUCUUUUUUUUCCUCCUCAAAUUUAAACCAAUCCUCAGGAAAAUGAAGUGAUCAAAUGGAACAGUACAACAUCCUAAUGUUAACAAGUCUUGCACCAAGUCUACCUGAACACAAACAUUUACUUUGUGCUCUCCUGAAUUCCAUUUGUGGAUGUAUAUUUCUGAACAACUGCUGCAUUGAGCUCCAGAGCAUAAAGUACAAAGCUCCUUGUCAGAAACAGUGCCCUGCUUUCCAUGUGGAGUGUUAUACCCACAUAAACAGACUGAAAACUUUUAGCCCUUUUGCCUCUGUUAGUAAAAAGAUGAAUCAUUAUAGUGUAUUAAAAAUAGUAAUUAUAAUAU